UGGUUGGGAUGUUGGUCUUCUCUUGUCAACAAUGCCUUCAAAUGAAGCCAGUUGCUGUGACAUUCUGGGUGUGCUUGGUUGUCUUGGUUGAGAUGUUGAUCUUUUCGGAGUGCCUUUCCUAUUGGCCUCACUGGCAGGAGUCUUCGUUCUUCCAGCCAUCUCUUAACUGGCAUCAAUUUAUCAGCAUCAUCCUUCCAUUCGUUUGCUGUUGUUGUUGCCACACGGUUGACAUAGACUUUAGCUCGAGCCAGCUCCCUCUCGAGCGUCUUCUUCUCCUCCUACAAUUUAAAGAUCGUUAUGAAACAAACUAGAAUGGGAUCGACCCAAACUUCUGAACACUUACAUCGAUCUCACUUACAUUCAAUCUGGCAGCCUGGUUCUGGUAGAAGUGUACAGCGUUGGCAACAUCUCUGCUGGCAAGAAUGGACUCCUCAAGCUCACCAACGGUGUGGGUGAGCUUCUCAAUUUCCAGGACCUUCUGCCUGUUGCUCUUCUCCAAAAGCAUGUUCUCCUCCUGCAGGUUCAGGCAAACAAGAAAAAAGGUUCAGUUAUGCAAGUUUUUCUGUAUAAGAAAAAUGAGGUAUGCCUGCCAUGUCGAUAAUGGAUCGUUGGCUGCACAUACAUGGUAGAUCUCCAUCUGUUUCCUCAGCUCAAUAUUCUGGUUCUGGACAUCCUCUACAAUCAGCGCUCUCUCGAGUGCGCUGCGCAGAAUGUCCCCAGCCUCAACGAACGCCGCCUCAUUGAGCUUCAGGUGUCGUUCGAGCGCCUUUUUGUCAUCCUGGAGCACCGCAAUCUGACAAAAACCAAAGGAGCAGCCACAGACUCCAGGGGCCCUAUGAUGGCAUCAAAGGGAACCACUUCCUCAUCUCUCUGGGCCGAGUGUAUCCUCCUGAGCGAUGCCUCAGCAGCGAACUGUGCAGACAACGCUUCCUUGCGCUCAUUGCAUAACCUUUUCACAUCCAGAUUCUGUCAUAUCAAAUUGAAUUUACCCGUCAAUAACCGGAAAAGGAAGAAAAAUGGAGGUAGUUGAUUUGAUGUCAAAUCAAAUGAGCUAGGCAAGUAAGUACUAAGCAACCUUCUGUUCAAGCUGCUUCUCCAGGAUGCUCAGCUUCUCGUCCUGUUUCUUCAGCUCCUUGCUCAGCUGAAUGCAUACGUCAGGUAAAGUUAAGUCCAGGUUGCAUCCAGUUAGCAGUGUACAAGUUAACUUAAGCUCAGAAGAAACAGAGUGCAAGUUAACUUGUAAACAACUCAAGGAAGCUGACCCGUGAAGCAAAUUAUACCUCAGCAAUGGCCUUGUCCUUCAGAGCUUCUGUCACCUUCAGACCUUUUAUUUCACUGUAUGCGUGUCCUAGUUCUCGUUCCUUUUCUGCAGGAAAUGACCAAAGUUUUAAAACGAAGUGCAGCAUCUUAUUUCC